AAGUCUGAUAUUUUUGGGUUCAUUGCUCCAUCCAACAGAACAUUACUUGCUUUCAGGUCCCUGUGUAUGAUUUUCAAUCUAGAGUACUUGUGGAUAUAAAGUACUCCCUGAGCAAUACCCUCUAUAAUUCGAAAGCGUUUUCCCCAAUCUAAUUCUGCAUUUUCAGAUGGAUCUGAUAGGACCAACCAUGAAGAAAAUUUAGCUAAGUGUUUUUCUUUUUAUUUUAGAUGAAAUGCUGGACAAAUGGAAAAAGAUCUUGCAUUACACAACUUUUGCACAUUGAAAAGGAUCUUCUAAGAUAUGAGGAUACACCAAACAAAAGUUGGUCCAAACUUCCGUUGGGCAUGAACUCAUAGUGUUUAUGUUGGCGAGUCCUUAUUUCAUUAGAAUUUUGGUUACUUACCAAUUAUAUUUUGUCAUAUUGUAAUAGAGAUUAUUUUAUUUAGUGUUAUAGGGGUUGAUGAUAACCCUCAUAGAGGUAGCACCACCGACUCAUUCUCUCAUUCUCCACCAACCAUCGUUGAGUUGAGUGCCCAGAUGGCUCCGCUCCUACAGAUGCAGACUUUUACCCCGAACCUAAUCCAGAAUCAGGAUCCUCUUUUGACGACCCCGACCCCGACUCCGACUAUGACGACAACGACCCCGACCCUGACUCCGAAGACGACCCCGACCCCGACUCCAAAGACGACCCCGACCCCGACUCCGAAGACGACCCCGACCCCGACUCCGAUGAUGACCCCAACCCCGAAUUUGGCUCUGAUUCAGACCUUGAUCCCGAUUUCAACUCUGACUCCGGCCUCGACUCAGGCUCAUAUUCCGAUCCCAAUUCCUACUCAACUGUAUCCUAUGCAUCUUCCGCUGCACAGAUUAUGACUUCUCGACUAACGACCCCGACGCAUGGACCAGAUUGCGCAUUUUGUGAAAUCCGAGGAUCAAUUGGCGGAUAUUUUGACAAAGGCGAUUUUCAGUAAAGCAUUCCACAAUUCACUGGAUCAGUUGGGCAUUGGCGACAUCUAUGCACCAACGUGAGGGGGAGUGUUGGCGUGACUUGUGGAUAUUGACUUACUUUCCUUACACACCAAGAAUUCCUAUUAUAAUUGUAAUUGAUUUACUUUAAUUCCUGAUUUCCUACUCUAAAUAGAUUUAGGAAUUUAUUAUUUACUUGCCCAUUCAGGUUUCAUUGUAUUAUAAAUAUGACCUCCUACAAGGAAAAGAAUACACAGAAAAUUCCCACAAACAAAUAUUCUCUCAUAGUUUUAAUAUUUUAGCAGUUUAUACCGGAGAUAAAUGGCCUAUGACAACCAAACACGUGGACAGGAUCGAUUCUGGCUGCAGAAACGCCUUCGGCAUGCUUCCUACCGAAGCCAUCUAUCUUGGCCCUUUUUACCAUCGGACACGUGUCAUGCUCACAAUCCAUGUCCACAGUCCCACAUCGGAAAUAUGAGCAUAGUGCACACCUCCCAAGGCCUAUAUAAGAAGACCCCUAUCCCCAAAAGGAGGGAAAUCAGAACUAACGGUACGCUACCGAUUGAUCUGUCAGUUAAUAUUACUAAAACCGUACUUACUAAAGCAUCGGAGAGCCUUCGGUCGGUACCACACCGGUGCCCCAAGGACUUACCGAACGCGUCCUUUUGCAGGUACUUACCCUUCCGAAGUAGAACAUCUUCCGAGGACAGUCACCUGCCGAAGGCAUAAUAUAACUAAGUUGACGAAAUACGUGCCGAACCACUUUUUCGCAUCAACACAUAGAUCAAGAUCAGUUCCUCCUCCUCAAUACAGCAACCUAAGAGCCUAACAAAAUUGGUAUGCUUGAGCUUGGCUAUAAGAUUUAACUCAUUUAUGAACUCCUCAUGUCCUUGCCCUGAUUUCUUUGACAGUCUUUUUAUGGCUACUUCUUGAUUUUCAGGCAAAAUCCCCUGCAGUGGAAGGAAAAUCAAACACAAAGUGAACCACCAUCCUACCAAUCGAACUUAAUUAGGAAAAAGGUUGUUAAGAGAACCAAAAAGUAUAAUAUUUAUGAAAGAAAACUAAUGUACUUUAAUUACCAAUACAAAAUGGAAGAGUCACCUUAUAAACAGGGCCAAAUCCUCCCUCUCCCAGUUUAUUAGCUUCAGAGAAGUUGUUUAUUGUAUUUAAUAUACUCUUUAAACCGAAGAGUGGUAGUUCUGUGUCAUUCUUUCCACUUCCAGCACCAUAAUUUAUUUUAGUCGCACCAUACUUCCUCCUCUGCGUCCUGUUUCAGUCUUUGUCAGAGCAUGGAUAAUUUGUUUAUAGAAUCCGUAUGAAUGCACGAGUAUGUCUGUGUGUGAGAAAGAGAGACAGAGUGAUGGCAAUACCUUCGCUUCCCCAAUCUUUUCUUCCAUAGGAAAUAGCAAAAAAUUAUCAUAAGCAACUCUGCUGCUGCUGAGACCAUUGCAAUUAUAAGGGGGCGCUUAUCCGUAUCACCCUUGCCAUCUGCAAAAAAUUAAAUAAAAUUAAAUUAAAUAUUCAGGUUGACCAAUUACAAGAUGGCUAUCCAAGAAAUGAUCUUUCAUAACAACACCAACAAUUAUUCACUUACUACUUUGGAGAUGCAUAAGCUCAGAAGCUACACGUCUGAUGUAUGAAGUUCUUCCACCAGCGUCAUCUGCCACAAGUUCUUGCACACCCAGGAGAUCUCCAAUCCAAAUUGAACAUGCGUUACUGCUUUCAUAAGCAAAAGCAGUGCAAGAGCAGUUAUUUAAGCAGAUUGAUUCACAUUUCUUAGCACUCCCAACCUUAACAUGCAGUUCAUUUUCAGACAUUGACAUGCUAUGCAUUUCUAGAAACUGGUCUUCUGUCCGAAUAACACUAGUUGAAUUCCCACACUGCAAAUUAGUUUUUCUUUGACACCCACCUGAGUAAUCCUGCAAAGCCCAAUCCCGUGGCGACUUCUGUUCAAAACCCACCAAACAAUUACACAAGACCCCGGAUUUUUCAUUGCAACUCCCAAAUGCCCCGCAAAUCGCAUAAACAGCACAUUGCUGUCUUGGUUGAGACCAAAACAUUUUCCAUGGCCUGGAAGGCAUAAACCAAACUACUUGCUGAACCUGCCCCGAUACUGAUAUCACGAAUGGAGAUACUUUCUUAGGAUCAUAAAGCGAAUAGGUCAUAUAACUUCCGUUUUCAUUUGAAACAAAGCUGUAGUUGAAGACGUAAUUACGCCUCAUAUAAGGAACCAAGCUGAAAAGAUUUGAACUUGCAUUCCAAGAUCCACUGGUCCAACACUGUUUAGACCUAUUCCACAGUAAGAUAUAUGAAUUGCUUCGGUCUAGCUUAAAAGAGUAAAGACCUGGUGCAGGAUCCCGUGAGUUCUUCCAUGAAGUGAGAAUUUGGGUUUGAUUGGUAAGAUUGUUGAAUCAAUCUUGGCUCCUGGUAGCCAUGUAUGGGUUGGAUGAUCAAAGCUUUGCCAUACAAACUCAGAUGUACUAGAAUGAGCUCUUAAGACAAGAUUUUCCACUAUCUAAAAGAACUGCUUGCACAGAAGCAGAGGUGGUGGUGGAGGUCAAAUGUGUGGAUCAAACUGGAGUUUUGGCCCCAUUAAAGAGAACUAAAUUGCCAUAUUUGAUCUUCAACACCGAUGAAAAUCUAUCAGAGAUAGGUUUUUCCCUAUUUGCCACCCAAACUAUGGUACUCGCAGAUACCACUCGGCCGGAAUACCAGGUACCUAUGUAGUGGAGGCCAUCUAAUUCGAAUAACCCCAGUUCAAAAUCCCUGGAGACGAUUGUCUGGUCACCGGAGAGAAAUUGGUUUGCAGUGAUGGUGUCAGCUGCAAAGGAGAUACUGAACUCGAGAAAUAGGCACAAUAAAACAACUAUAAACACCAACAUUGGGUUGGUUUUGGUAUCCAUGGCUGCAGUAAGAUACAGUAAAGAAUUAGGAAAUUAUCUCAUAAUUAUACAAUGAUUUAUCAACUAUAUAAAAAUAGGAAAGUAAAUCCCUUAAUUAAUUAAGGAAGUAAAUCUCCUUGAUUAAUUAGGAGACUCAUGUCAACACUCCUCCUCAAGUUGGUGCAUAUAUGUCACCAAUGCUCAACUUGAUAAGUGAGUCAUAAAAUACUCUUCUACAAACAGUUUUGGUUAAGAUAUCUGCCAAUUGAUCUUCUGAUUUUACGAAUGGUAGGCGGAUGAUCUUCUUCUUAAGUUUUUCUUUGAUAAAAUGUCUAUCCACCUCAACAUGUUUAGUUCGAUCAUGUUGAACUGGAUUAUGGGCAAUAUCGAUGGCUGACAUGUUAUGACAAUGUAACUCCAUUGGCUUUUCUGGCUUGAACCCCAAUUCUGUCAAUAGUCUUCUUAUCCGUAGUAAUUCACAAACUUCUUGAGCCAUUCCUCGAUACUCUGCUUCAGCACUAGAUCGAGAAACUAAAUUUUGUUUCUUACUCCGCUAAGUGACUAGGUUACCUCCCACAAAAGUGAAGUAACCUGAAGUAGAGCGUCUGUCAGUAACGGAGCCAGCCCAAUCAGCAUCUGUAUAUCCAACAACUUCGAGAUCUCUAUUUUUGGAGAACGUUAACCCUUUCCCAGGUGCUGACUUUAAGUAUCUUAAGAUCCGAUCAACUGUAUUCCUAUGGGACACACAAGGUGAAUGUAUAAACUGACUAACCACACUCACAGCAUAUGCAAUAUCUGGUCUUCUGUGAGCUAAAUAUAUCAACAUUCCAACAAGGCGUUGGUACUGUUCCUUAUUGGUUGGUUCUUGAUCCAUGUCUUCACAUAACUUGUGAUUUAUCUUGAUGAAUGUAUCAACAUGUUUGUAUCCAAGCAUUCCUGUUUCAGUGAGCAGAUCUAAUACAUACUUCCUUUGAGACAGAAAUAUACCAGUUAUGGACCUGGCUACUUCAAUUCUUAGAAAGUACUUCAGAUCACCUAAAUCUUUCAUCUCAAAUUCCUGAGACAAAUACUUCUGCAGUUUCAGUUGCUCUCCUGUGUCGUUUCCAGUUACGACUAUGUCAUCCACAUAAACAAUCAAUGCAGUAAGUCUUCUUCCAUCACGCUUAAAGAACGAAGUGUGAUAUGCAUUACUUUGUAUAUAUCCAAAAUUCUUCAUGGAUUCAGUGAAUCUGCCAAACCAUGCCCUAGGAGAUUGCUUUAACCCAUACAAUGACUUUCUGAGCUUGCAAACUUGAUUCUCCUUGUCACGAGCUAAGUUACAUCUUGGUGGAAAGUCCAUAUAUACUUCUUCUUCCAAGUCUCCAUGUAAGAAAGCAUUUUUGACAUCAAACUGAUGUAAUGACCAAUCGAGAUUUGCUACUAGAGAGAGAAGGACUCUGAUAGUUUUAAUCUUGGCUACUGGCGCAAAGGUCUCUUAGUAGUCUAUCCCAUAUCUUUGUGUGUACCCAUUCGCCACCAAUCUAGCUUUAUAUCUUUCAAUGGAUCCAUAUGCUUUAAGUUUCACAGUAUAAAUCCACCUACAUCCCACUGUCUUCUUUCCAUGAGGUAAUGACAUGAGUUCCCAUGUGCCAUUUUUCUGGAGAGCUCUUCAUUCAUGGCUUCUUUCCAUUUUGAGUCUUCUAGCGCUUCAGUUAUACUGUUGGGAACGGGUAUGUCAGCCAACUGCUUCACAAAGUGUACCCAAGACUCUAAUAGUCUGCUGAUGGAUACAUAAUUGUUGAUGGGAUAUUUCCUUUUUGCAUUAAGAUCUGCUUCAUAGUGAACUGGAGGUUUCCACGGUUAUUUCGUUUUGGAAGUUGAUAUGCAGGCUCUGUGCCUUUUGAAAUUAAAUCAUUAAGGGAUAUUUCAUUAAUGUUAUCAGUUUCAGGAGAAGAUGUUACAUGAAUGACGUCCUCAGUAGGUGAUUGGUGUGGUACUGGAGCUGAAGAAUUCUCCUGCACAGGCAAAAACUCCUUAAUGAUGAUCUCCUCCUGAGUUUGAUAGCAGGGAGACGACCGGUCGCUGUCCCUUGGCGACCGGUUGCUUUUUCACAGAGUUGAAUUCUUGCUGGGUGACUGGUCGCUAUAAUUGGGCAACCGGUCGUUUUCAGUCUGGGAUGUUUCUACAGGAAAAAAUUCAGAAAUUGGAGAAGUGUUGGCAUUUCGAUCCUCCUCCUGGACGGUUGAAAAAUAUGUCAGGUUCCCGGAAUACAACAUCCAUAGAAAUAUAGACUUUCUAACUUGGAGGAUGAUAACACCGGUACCCCUUUUUGAUGAGGUGCAUAGCCGAUGAAAACACAUUUUUUGACGCGGGGAUCCAAUUUGCUGCGUUGGUGAUCAUGUAAGUGGACGAAGACCACACAGCCAAAGAUCCGGGGUUCCAGGUUUUUGGUAAGAGGUAUUUGGAGAUGGUGGUAGAGUGUUUGAAGGGGGGUUUGGAAAUUGAGGAUAUUGGAGGGAAUCCGAUUGAUAAGGUAUGUUGCAGAGAGGACGACUUCUCCCCAAAAGAAUCGAGGCAUAUUGGCACCAAAGAGAGAGGCACGAACCACUUCCAAUAAGUGUAUAUUCUUUCGUUUAGCCACACCAUUCUGUUGAGAAAUGUAAGGGCAUGAGCGUUGAUGUAUGAUGCCAUGAUCUUGUAAAAACUGAUUAAGAUCAUGGUUGAUAAAUUCUCCGCCAUUGUCAGACCGAAGAACCUAAAUUCUAGUAUGAAAUUGUGUCUCUACCAUUUGAUAGAACUGUUGAAAUUUAGAAUUGACUUCCCCUUUUAUUUGGAGAAGAGAAACCUAGGUCAUACGUGUGCAAUCAUCGAUAAACGUGACAAACCAUCUAGCUCCCCCAGGAGUGGUAAUUUUAGCCGGACCCCAAACAUCAGAAUGAACAAGAGAAAAAUGAACCAAACUUUUAUGUGAACUUAAGGGAAAAGGAACACGAUGGCUCUUAGCUAGUUCACAGAUGUCACACGUAAAACUAGAAAUAUCUAACUGGAAAAAUAAGGAAGGAAAUAGCUUAUGUAAAUAUUCAAACGACGCAUGUCCAAGACGUCGAUGCCAUAACCAUGCUUCGGAAGUUUGCUUCUCAACACUCGUACCCCCAAUUUUGUAAGUUUGACUGAGGCUGGCUUCAUUGUUAGAGGCCAAGUCCAGAUAGUAGAGUUUGCCCCUCAUAGUACCCCAACCAAUCAUCUUGCUGUUGAGGAUGUCCUGAAAAACACAAUAAGUAGGCCAAAAGGUUACAGUGCAAUUCAAAGCUGUAGUAAUUUGGGCAACAGACAAAAGAUUAUGAUGUAAGGAUGGAGCAAUCAACAUAGAAUUCAAAGUGAGGGAGUUAGAGAGAGAGAGGGAACCCUCCUCAAUUACUGGGGAAGGGGUACCGUUGGCAUUAGACACCACCGAUUGAGAAGAAGGUGUACGAGAUGUAAGUUGUCCAGGAUCAAAGGUCAUGUGAUCAGUGGCUCCGGUGUCAAUGGCCCAAAUGUGUUUCUUUGAAGAACUAUGUAAAACAUAACCGUGGGAACCUGUUGUGGCAAUGUUGGAGGAUGGGGAAGUGAAGGCAGCUGUUAAGGAAGAUGAGACGAUAUUCAUGGCAGCAGAAGGAUUUAAGAAUAAGAGAACAAAAAAAGAAUUUGUGUUUAUUGUUUUGUGAUAAGAGGAUAUGAGGAUUUCGGUAUGAAGAUCUGGAUAUGAAGCUGUAAAUAUGAGGAAUUUGAUUCAUGGCAGCGGAGGGAUUUAAGAAUAAGAGAACAAAAAAAGAAUUUUUGUUUAGGGUUUUGUGAUAAGAGGAUAUGAGGAUUUGGGUAUGAAUAUCUGGAUCUGAAGCUGUAAAUAUGAGGAAUUUGAUUUAGGGUUUGGGUGUGAAGAAAUUUGAUAUGAGGAUUUAGAGUUUGUGUUUGAAGAAAUUUGAUAUGAGGAUUUAGGGUUUGUGUUUGAAGAAAAUUUGAUAUGAGAAUUUAGAGACAACCGAGGAUCGAUUGCUCUGAUACCAUGCUAAAAUAUGAAUAUGGUUUGAAUGUAUUAGGUUAUUUUUAUUCUUUUCCAUAAAGAGGCAUAUAUAAGAGUUUACAUGUACUAUACAAGGAAUUAGAUACAAUAAAGAAUUAGAAAAGUAUAUCCUAAUUAUACAAUGAUUUAUCAAUUAUAUAAAAAUAGGAAAGUAAAUCCCUUAAGUAAUCAAGGAAGUAAAUCUCUUUGAUUAAUUAGAAGACUCACGUCAACAGUCUUGCUACUUAAUCGAAGUUAACCAUUGAAUGGUCAAGUCAUGCGUCUGCAAUGACAACAAUGAGAAUUAAGGAUAAUGAAUGAGUGCUGCAUAUUUUCCUUUCAGCAUUGCUUUCAAACUUGUUAUAAAUUUGCCACUAUACUUUCGUGAAUGCCAAUUACUUUGAAUUUCUUAUAAUUUUUGUUUCGUGAAUUUGUGGUGGGUGUGUCUGGAAGCAAAAUAAUUUAUGUUUUUAUCAUACAUGUUACUUUUCAAAGAAAAUCUUCUUCCAUCUAGGGGAUACUCAAUUCAAAUACUUCACCUAAUAAAAUGUUAGAGAGAGACUAGCUUAGUUUCCUGGCAUUUUACUCGAAAGUCUUUAGUCAAUCUUUCCAUAUUUUCUGUCACUUUCUGUGUAAACAAACACGUGUGUGGCUCCCCCAAUUUCUUUAUUAUUGUUUCUCACUUUCGUUACUAAGCUCUACUUGGAGGACGGUCUCAAAAACUAUACUUGAGGGGAUGGUAAGGUAAAUCCAAUUUAAGAAUAUUCAACCAUUUGAGCAUCCAUGGCUUCACAAAAAAUUUGCAAUAGUUGAAUACCAGCUGAACAUUCCAAGUCAACAAAGUCAACUAUUGAAGGGUCUACGCUCCGUUCUCUCUUUAGUUUGAGAGUCCUUGGCUCUGUAACUCUGCCCGUUUAACCAUGCAUGCGGCAUUGUUUUAAGCAUUCAUAGACCAAACUUGCCUUUCUAAAUGUUAUAACUUUUUAGGUAUACAGUUCUGUUCAUGUUCAUUGCUCUGCAAUGUGUAAAGAUCUUGGAAUAUUUGUUCAGUGAGGCUUCUUUUUAAGUUUCUCACACCUGAACCAGACCAAUAUAAGUUGUGAAGCACUUUCGUUUACUUAAAUAAUAAAAAAGAGUCUUGGACAUUGCCAAAGUCUUGCACACUUGAUUGUGAGUACUCUUGUCACAGUGUUUUCAUUUUUCGUUUAUAUAUCCAACAAUAAAUGUGUAUAGGAAAGGUAACAUUUUUGAGCUUCUAUCGACCUUCUGGCAAACUAAUGGUUACUGCAUUAUUGGAAAUAAUGGGAGUUGUUUGAGGAGAAGAACUAACAGCAACGGAAUUCCUAUGUGUUGAAAAAGCAGGUUCUUUGGAGGGUGGAAGAGAUGUAGCUUCAUUGGCCAGCAUAAGAAUUACAGAAGACAUUGUUGGCCGAUCAGCUGGAUCUUCUUGAACACACAAAAAUCCUACCUGUAUACACUUCAAAGCUUCAUCAUGCCGGCAUGUUUCCCUCACUGAUGCAUCGAUAACCUCCAUUCCUCUACCUUCUCUCCAUAAUUCCCAUGCCUAAUUAAGAUUCAACAUGUAAACCCAUUAGUCUUGCAUGACCGUUCACAUACUUAUAUUAUUUCAAGUUUAUAGUUAAUUAUAAAUUUUUCAGGCUUAGGAUACAUUAGAAUUUUUAUUACUCACCCAUCCAGCAAGAGUUAGUGAAUGUUCAAAGCGAUGAAAAGCAGCAUUCUUCUUUCCACUAACAAUCUCCAGCAGCAACACUCCAAAACUAAACACAUCCAGUUUCUCAGAGAAAUGGCCAUAUCUUGCAUACUCAGGUGACAUGUAGCCGCUGCAUAAAUUGACGGUAGAGAAGUAAGCAAAAGCAAUGAUUGUAUAAGAUUUCAAUGAUUGAAAACAUGUGCCAUGUAUAUAUAUAUAUAUAUACUUACUAUGUGCCAACAACUCUGUUAGUAUUUGCUUCAGUUUGAUUUAUCUCAAAAAUCUUUGCCAUUCCAAAGUCUGAAAUUUUGGGGUUCAUUGCUCCAUCCAACAGAACAUUACUUGCUUUCAGGUCCCUGUGAAUGAUUUUCAAUCUGGAAUACUUGUGGAUAUAAAGUAUUCCUUGAGCAAUAC
rnacentral:lncRNA from 1 species